AUUGUCAUGGGAAGUUUGUGUUUUGUGCAUUUUCCAUGUCUUUGAAUAUUGCAGCUUGACAGAGACAAUCUUUCAAACUUGCUUCUUCACAUUCUUCCUUGGAUUGUGAUUUCGGAUCGGAAUAUGAACCAUCUUCUCAUGAAAUAUUACUGUCUUAAUUGUGUACUUGAUAUUCCAGCCUAGCUUUUGCAACUUUCUGCUGAGAAAUUCUUUUGACAGCCUGAGGCUCAGCUGCCCUCUUUAAUUCUUGCAUAUCCUGGAAGAUAUCGACGCCUGAUUUCUUGAUCAUUUUGAACACAAUACCCUUUAAGGCUACAGAGACCCAUAGGUAAAAAUGGCCAUCAACAUCCACGUUUAACGACACAUUGCCAUAGCCAAUAGGCAUGUGUGCUUCUGUCUGUAGUAUCCUUUGGGUACUGCACAAGGAUUUCAUCCUUCUGCAUCUUAAGCCAAAACAUCCUGGUUGAUUGAUUAGUUUCCAAGACUCUGGAAACCACUUGUUUCCCUGCUAAGAGAUGUUGACCUGGUAACAAUGUAUUGGUGGGGUGUACAAAAUUCUGCCAUAGGACCUUAUCAGAAUUAUAGAAAAUAAAAUUUACUGAAUUAAGCAUU